UACGUAGGGGGCAAGCGUUGUCCGGAUUUAUUGGGCGUAAAGAGCGUGUAGGCGGCCAGAUAGGUCCGUUGUGAAAACUGGAGGCUUAACCUCCAGCUGUCGAUGGAAACCAUCUGGCUAGAGUCCGGAAGAGGAGAGUGGAAUUCCUGGUGUAGCGGUGAAAUGCGCAGAUAUCAGGAAGAACACCCGUGGCGAAAGCGGCUCUCUGGGACGGUACUGACGCUGAGACGCGAAAGCGUGGGGAGCAAACAGG
rnacentral:rRNA from 1 species